GCCAGACGCGGUGGUGCACGCCUGUAGUCCCAGCUACUCGGGAGACUGAGACGGGAGGCUGCUUGAGCCCAGGAGUUCUGGGCUGUAGUGCGCUAUGCCGAUCAGGUGUCCGCCCUAAGUUCGGCAUCAAUAUGGUGACCUCCUGGGAGCGGGGGACCACCAGGUUGCCUAAGGAGGGGUGAAUCGGCCCAGGUUGGAAACGGAGCAGGUCAAAACUCCCGUGCUGAUCAGUAGUGGGAUCGAGCCUGUGAAUAGCCGCUGCAUUCCAGUCUGGGCAAUAUAGCAAGACCCUGUCUCU
rnacentral:SRP_RNA from 1 species